rnacentral:rRNA from 1 species
GGUAUGAGUGUGUAAGAGCGCAUGGUGGAUGCCUUGGCAUCAGGAGCCGAUGAAGGACGUGGAAAUCUGCGAUAAGCCUCGGGGAGCCGAUAAACGGGCUGUGAUCCGAGGGUGUCCGAAUGGGGAAACCCCGCCACAUGAGAGUGUGGUGACCCGCAUCUGAAUAUAUAGGGUGUGUGGGGGGAACGCGGGGAAGUGAAACAUCUCAGUACCCGUAGGAAGAGAAAAUAAAAUAUGAUUCCGGGAGUAGUGGCGAGCGAAACUGGAAGAGCCUAAACCUUGUCAGUGUCAAACGUGCUGGUGUUGCUGGCUUGGUGUUGUGGGGUAUGCGUGUUCGGUCCAGCAUGACCGGAACGUUGAUGAGUGCUAGAUGUAGUCGAAGCUGGUGGGAAACAGUACCGGAGUGGGUGAGAGUCCCGUAGACGAAACAUGUGGCCCCAACGUUGUGCAUAUACCCGAGUAGCACGGUACUCGUGGAAUGUCGUGUGAAUCUGCCAGGACCACCUGGUAAGGCUAAAUACUUCCUGAUGACCGAUAGCGGAUAGUACCGUGAGGGAAUGGUGAAAAGUACCCCGGGAGGGGAGUGAAAUAGUACCUGAAACCAUGUGCUUACAAUCCGUCAGAGCCUCCUUGUUGGGGUGAUGGCGUGCCUUUUGAAGAAUGAGCCUGCGAGUUAGCGGUGCGUGGCGAGGUUAACCCUUGAGGGGUAGUCGUAGCGAAAGCGAGUCCGAAUAGGGCGUUUGAGUCGCGUGUCCUAGACCCGAAGCGGAGUGAUCUAGCCAUGGGCAGGGUGAAGCGUGUGUAAGAGCGCGUGGAGGCCCGCACCCACUUCAGUUGAAAAUGGAGGGGAUGACCUGUGGUUAGGGGUGAAAGGCCAAUCAAACUCUGUGAUAGCUGGUUCUCCCCGAAAUGCAUUUAGGUGCAGCGUUGCGUGGUUCUUGCCGGAGGUAGAGCUACUGGAUGGCUGAUGGGCCCCACCGGGUUACUGACGUCAACUAAACUCCGAAUGCCGGUAAGGUUCAGCGUGGCAGUGAGACAGUGGGGGAUAAGCUUCAUUGUCGAGAGGGAAACAGCCCAGACCAUCAACUAAGGCCCCUAAGCGUGUGCUAAGUGGGAAAGGAUGUUCAGUUGCGAAGACAACCAGGAGGUUGGCUUAGAAGCAGCCAUCCUUGAAAGAGUGCGUAAUAGCUCACUGGUCAAGUGAUUGAGCGCCGAUAAUGUAGCGGGGCUAAGUACACCGCCGAAGUUGUGGCAGCAUCCCAAUGAGCCGUAAUGGUGGGGUGUUGGGUAGGGGAGCGUCGUGCUGGCAGUGAAGUCGCCGUGUGAACGAGUGGUGGAGCCGGUACGAGUGAGAAUGCAGGCAUGAGUAGCGAAAGACGGGUGAGAAACCCGUCCACCGGAUGACCAAGGGUUCCAGGGCUAGGCUAAUCCGCCCUGGGUAAGUCGGGACCUAAGGCGAGGCCGACAGGCGUAGUCGAUGGACAACCAGUUGAUAUUCUGGUACCGACGCAUAACCGUCAAUACCAAAAC